CUAUAAUAAACUUGCAGGAAGUUUUCCUUCUUGGAUUAGCCAGAAAAAUUUACAUCUGAAUUUGGUGGCAAAUAACUUUGUGAUUGAUGAUUCUAAUAGCAGUGACCUUCAGCAAAUAACAUCACUGGGAGGCUGUCAGAGUCACUAGGCAAUCUGAAAAACGUUACUUGUGAUAAUGAUGAUGAUGAUGAACACAAUGCCAAUUGUUGCUCUUGCUGCUUUUGAAGAAUAUAAUAAUGCUUCUGAUGUUAUUGGACGAUAUGAGAAUUGGUUGCUG